rnacentral:tRNA from 1 species
UAAAAUAUAGUUUAAAAAAAAUAUUUAAUUUGCAUUUAAAAGAUAUAAAAUUUUAAAAUUAUUUUAA